GACGAACGCUGGCGGCAUGCUUUACACAUGCAAGUCGAACGGUAACAGGUCUUCGGAUGCUGACGAGUGGCGAACGGGUGAGUAAUGCAUCGGAACGUGCCCAGUCGUGGGGGAUAACGCAGCGAAAGCUGCGCUAAUACCGCAUACGAUCUAUGGAUGAAAGCGGGGGACCGUAAGGCCUCGCGCGAUUGGAGCGGCCGAUGUGAGAUUAGGUAGUUGGGGGGGUAAAGGCCCACCAAGCCAACGAUCUGUAGCUGGUCUGAGAGGACGACCAGCCACACUGGGACUGAGACACGGCCCAGACUCCUACGGGAGGCAGCAGUGGGGAAUUGUGGACAAUGGGCGCAAGCCUGAUCCAGCAAUGCCGCGUGCAGGAAGAAGGCCUUCGGGUUGUAAACUGCUUUUGUACGGAACGAAACGGCUCUCUCUAAUACAGAGGGCUAAUGACGGUACCGUAAGAAUAAGCACCGGCUAACUACGUGCCAGCCGCCGCUGUAA
rnacentral:rRNA from 1 species